AAAUUGAAGAGUUUGAUCAUGGCUCAGAUUGAACGCUGGCGGCAGGCCUAACACAUGCAAGUCGAGCGGUAGCACAGAGAGCUUGCUCUCGGGUGACGAGCGGCGGACGGGUGAGUAAUGUCUGGGAAACUGCCUGAUGGAGGGGGAUAACUACUGGAAACGGUAGCUAAUACCGCAUAAUGUCGCAAGACCAAAGUGGGGGACCUUCGGGCCUCAUGCCAUCAGAUGUGCCCAGAUGGGAUUAGCUAGUAGGUGGGGUAACGGCUCACCUAGGCGACGAUCCCUAGCUGGUCUGAGAGGAUGACCAGCCACACUGGAACUGAGACACGGUCCAGACUCCUACGGGAGGCAGCAGUGGGGAAUAUUGCACAAUGGGCGCAAGCCUGAUGCAGCCAUGCCGCGUGUGUGAAGAAGGCCUUCGGGUUGUAAAGCACUUUCAGCGGGGAGGAAGGCGGUGAGGUUAAUAACCUCACCGAUUGACGUUACCCGCAGAAGAAGCACCGGCUAACUCCGUGCCAGCAGCCGCGGUAAUACGGAGGGUGCAAGCGUUAAUCGGAAUUACUGGGCGUAAAGCGCACGCAGGCGGUCUGUCAAGUCGGAUGUGAAAUCCCCGGGCUCAACCUGGGAACUGCAUUCGAAACUGGCAGGCUAGAGUCUUGUAGAGGGGGGUAGAAUUCCAGGUGUAGCGGUGAAAUGCGUAGAGAUCUGGAGGAAUACCGGUGGCGAAGGCGGCCCCCUGGACAAAGACUGACGCUCAGGUGCGAAAGCGUGGGGAGCAAACAGGAUUAGAUACCCUGGUAGUCCACGCCGUAAACGAUGUCGAUUUGGAGGUUGUGCCCUUGAGGCGUGGCUUCCGGAGCUAACGCGUUAAAUCGACCGCCUGGGGAGUACGGCCGCAAGGUUAAAACUCAAAUGAAUUGACGGGGGCCCGCACAAGCGGUGGAGCAUGUGGUUUAAUUCGAUGCAACGCGAAGAACCUUACCUGGUCUUGACAUCCACAGAACUUUCCAGAGAUGGAUUGGUGCCUUCGGGAACUGUGAGACAGGUGCUGCAUGGCUGUCGUCAGCUCGUGUUGUGAAAUGUUGGGUUAAGUCCCGCAACGAGCGCAACCCUUAUCCUUUGUUGCCAGCGGUUAGGCCGGGAACUCAAAGGAGACUGCCAGUGAUAAACUGGAGGAAGGUGGGGAUGACGUCAAGUCAUCAUGGCCCUUACGACCAGGGCUACACACGUGCUACAAUGGCAUAUACAAAGAGAAGCGACCUCGCGAGAGCAAGCGGACCUCAUAAAGUAUGUCGUAGUCCGGAUUGGAGUCUGCAACUCGACUCCAUGAAGUCGGAAUCGCUAGUAAUCGUAGAUCAGAAUGCUACGGUGAAUACGUUCCCGGGCCUUGUACACACCGCCCGUCACACCAUGGGAGUGGGUUGCAAAAGAAGUAGGUAGCUUAACCUUCGGGAGGGCGCUUACCACUUUGUGAUUCAUGACUGGGGUGAAGUCGUAACAAGGUAACCGUAGGGGAACCUGCGGUUGGAUCACCUCCUUACCUUAAAGAA
rnacentral:rRNA from 1 species